rnacentral:rRNA from 1 species
UACAGAGGUCCCGAGCGUUGUUCGGAUUUAUUGGGCGUAAAGGGUGCGUAGGCGGCGGAGUAAGUUGGGUGUGAAAUCCCGGGGCUUAACCUCGGAAUGGCAUUCAAUACUGCUUCGCUCGAGUACUGGAGAGGAGGCUGGAAUUUACGGUGUAGCAGUGAAAUGCGUAGAUAUCGUAAGGAAGGCCGGUGGCGAAAGCGAGCCUCUGGACAGUUACUGACGCUGAGGCGCGAAAGCGUGGGGAGCAAACAGG